GGCGGGCGUGGUGGCGGGCGCCUGUAAUCCCAGCUACUCAGGAGGCUGAGGCAGGAGAAUCGCUUGAGCCCGGGAGGCAGCGGUUGCAGUGAGCGGAGAUCUCGCCACGGCACUCCAGCCUGGGCGACAAAGCGAGACUCUGUCUCAA
rnacentral:sRNA from 1 species